rnacentral:rRNA from 1 species
AUUGAACGCUGGCGGCAGGCUUAACACAUGCAAGUCGAACGAGCGGCGGACGGGUGAGUAAUGUCUGGGAAACUGCCUGAUGGAGGGGGAUAACUACUGGAAACGGUAGCUAAUACCGCAUACCAUCAGAUGUGCCCAGAUGGGAUUAGCUAGUAGGUGGGGUAAUGGCUCACCUAGGCGACGAUCCCUAGCUGGGCUGAGAGGAUGACCAGCCACACUGGAACUGAGACACGGUCCAGACUCCUACGGGAGGCAGCAGUGGGGAAUAUUGCGCAAUGGGGGCAACCCUGACGCAGCCAUGCCGCGUGAAUGAAGAAGGCCUUCGGGUUGGAAAGUUCUUUCGGUAGGGAGGCGUUAACUACAGAAGAAGCACCGGCUAACUCCGUGCCAGCAGCAGCGGUAAUUC